UAGAAACAUUGGACUAUAACCUUUGAACUCUUUCUGAAAGAACGCUUUGCAUCUACAAAGCUCACCGUCUCUGCUAUGAAUCUGAAUCUCAAGAUUGACUCAUGUCUGGUACCUUGCUUUGGAGAUGACAUGAGAGCCCUGAUAUCUACUAAUACGAUGUCCUAUUUUAUCACCUCCAUCAAAAGCCACUUCAACACCAUCAACAGUUGAAGUAUGCUUACUCUGCAAGUCCUGCAAUAAUUCAAAUAAUUCUGAAAGUCCCCUGAAAAUCUUGGCUGUAAAGAAUCAUUGAUAUCUCUGGAAAAUUGAGAAAAUUGCAUUUGGAAACAAUUCUAUUUAGACAUGAUUAAGGACCAGUCCAAGCUCUGGUAAUGGCAAACAAGAAGGUCUAUUGAGGCCAAAAAGUGUGAAGUACAGGUCCACAGCACCAC